rnacentral:misc_RNA from 1 species
AAACAGCAAAAGCAAUGCCUGAAAAUAUGGUAAGGAGAGAGAAACAGAUGAAUGUUAUGUUCAUGGAGAUAAGAGCUAUUACCAUUUUUUCUUCUUCUUCUUCUACUUCUUCUCUCUCUCUUUUUUACUGGCAUUUGUUGCUGGUGCUUAAUGAUUGCUUUUGUCAUCAUUGAUGACGGUAUCAUCUUAGUGAACUCUGAAUUAUUCUUUCCAUAACAUUGAUUGUAAAAACUUUUGUUUUCCAUUUUUAUCGCCUUGGCGGUUUCAUUGGAUUCUGUUUAUUGUAAUUACAAGAGUCAAGGGUAACUGGAUUUCAACUAAAAUAAUACAUUUUUUCGUGGUAGUUUAAAAUAUAUUAGGAAGAAAUAUAUAUAACAAAAAAGUAUAUGACAAUUUAAGUUCAAUAGCUACUAUAAUUAGAAAGCCAACGAUGAUAUGAUAAUUUUUGCAUCCUAGUAAACACUUUUUUUCUUUUGACCUUCUAUUUUAGAUAUAAAACCAUCUAAAUGAUCUUUGAUAUGGUUUCACACUUGGCUACUCCCUGAUUCCUGCUGAUGAUAAUGUAUGAGUUUCAGUGUGCAUUUUGUUUUUUUGAAAAUCUGAGCUGGUAGUAUUUUUACUAGAGCUUCAUAUAACGUGUAUACAAGAAUGUCUUUAUUUGUCUACAUUGUACACAUGUUGCUUAUAAAAUUUGCAAUUUGUUCUUCAUCCACUACAAAUGAAAAUGGAUCAAAAAUUUUAAUAUUCAACUCCUAAGUAUGUACUCCUAAUGUUACAUCUUUCUGGCUUAAGGUCUUGUUUAAUGCCAAGAUGCACUUUUGGCUCAUAUAUGUUGUGACAGAAACUUAACACCAUUAAUUCUGGGCCAAAUUCUUUUUGAAGGGUAGCUAUAUAGAGCCUACUGGUUAAAA